CCUGUUUAUCAAAAACAUUUCUAAUUAUGAAAUUAGUAGGCCCUGCUCACUGGUCUAAAGAGCCGCAGUAUAUUAACUGUGCUAAGGUAGCAUAAUAAUUAGAUUUUUUAUUGAGAUCUAGGAUGAAGGGGUUGAUGAUUUUUUAACUUUUCAAUCUAAGAGAAGAAGUUUAUUUUUAAGUCAAAAAGCUUAACUUUCUAGGGGGACGAUAAGACCCUAUAAAGCUUUACUUCGGGCAAAGUUUCAGGUAGUUAAGAGGAGUUGAGCUGGGGCGGCAAAUAAUAUCCUUUAAUUUAUUCAACGGUAUUUCCGAGAAUAAAGAUCUAAAAAGAAUUAGAAUAAGCUACUUUAGGGAUAACAGCGUGAUUUUUCUAAAGAGAUCUUAUUGACAGGAAAAGACUUACGACCUCGAUGUUGAAUUGAGGGGCCUAAUUUAAGUAGAAAUAAUUUCAGGGAGUCUGUUCGACUUUUAAAACCUCACGUGAUCUGAGUGCAGACC
rnacentral:rRNA from 1 species